GAUGAAGAACGUAGCGAAAUGCGAUACGUAAUGUGAAUUGCAAAUUCAGUGAAUCAUCGAGUCUUUGAACGCACAUUGCGCCCCCUGGUAUUCCGGGGGGCAUGCCUGUCCGAGCGUCAUUGCUGCCCCCAAGCACGGCUUGUGUGUUGGGCCCCGUCCUCCGAUCCCGGGGGACGGGCCCGAAAGGCAGCGGCGGCACCGCGUCCGGUCCUCGAGCGUAUGGGGCUUUGUCACCCGCUCCGUAGGCCCGGCCGGCGCUUGCCGAUCAACCCAAAUUUUUAUCCAGGUUGACCUCGGAUCAGGUAGGGAUACCCGCUGAACUUAAGCAUAUCAAUAAGCGGAGGA
rnacentral:misc_RNA from 1 species